rnacentral:lncRNA from 10 species
AGAACACUAUACAAAUCUGUCUUCUAAAAGUAAAUCUCAGCAGCUUAGUGAAUUUCCCCAUACUCUUUUUCCUUUGUAAAAUUAUUAUGAAGCGUCUAAUGCAUUUUAAGUUAUAAAGAUAAAUGAAACUUCAAAAUGAGUCUUGACUGGUGUUUUUGCAGCAUGCCUCAUUCCCUUCCCUUGAGCGCUUGCCUACCUGGAUACACAGUGCACACGUGUGCCACACGGCUCCUGCCACACCACAUGGUGUGUGCACAGUGUCACCCUGCUGCCACAUCACACAGGCUUGGCUGGGGGAAUAGUUGUUACUGCAGCCAUUGGCUAUAAAACAGUUUAACAUUCCCCUACAUGCCCCACCUCCCCCAUUGUAAAUUGUUGCAUUAUGAUCAGCAUACUUGAACCCAAAUUUGUGUUAAAUUAAAUGUUUGAUGGUUUCCUUAGUUUAGGUUCCUUUCAGUGUACUUACCAGUCAAAGAAGAUGAAGCUUUAGAAGGCCCAAAGGUCGUUCAGUUGGGAUUACAGACAUGAGCCACUCAGGCCCUGCCUAAUUUUGCAUUUCUUUAGUUGCUUGUAAGAUUGAGCAUGGUUAGCAUAUUUAUGGCUUACCUGGCUGUAGUGCGUGUGUGAAUGAAGCAGUCUUAUUUUCAAGCCACUUUUCAUUUGGGCAGC